UGGCUGUGCACCAAAUCUCAACUUGAAUUCUCUCUCCCAGAAUUUCCACGUUAUGUGAGGGACCCAGCAGGAGAUAAUUGAAUCAUGGGGACCAGUCUUUCCUUUGCUAUUCACAUGAUAAUGAAUAAGUCUCAUGAGAUCUGAUGGGUUUAGCAGGAAUUUCCACUUUUGCUUAUUCCUCAUUUUCUCUUGCCAUCACCAUGUAAGAAGUGGCUUUCACUUCCCGCCAUGAUUCUGAGACCUCCCCAGCCAUGUGGAACUCCAAGUCCAAUUAAACCUCUUUUUCUUCCCAGUCUUGGGUAUGUCUUCAUCAGCAGAGUGAAAACAGAUAAAUGCGGUAAAUUGGUACCAGGCAUAGAGUGGGGUUUAUGCUGAAAAGAU